AUUGAACGCUGGCGGCAGGCCUAACACAUGCAAGUCGAGCGAGCGGCGGACGGGUGAGUAAUGUAUGUGGACUGCGUGAUGGCGGGGGAUAACUACUGGAAACGGUAGCUAAUACCGCAUACAAUAAGAUAACCCAUAUGGGAUUAGCUUGUGGGGGAGGUAACGGCUAACCAAGGCGACGAUCCCUAGCUGGUCUGAGAGGAUGAUCAGCCACACUGGGACUGAGACACGGCCCAGACUCCUACGGAGGCAGCAGUGGGGAAUAUUGGGCAAUGGGGGAAACCCUGACCCAGCCAUGCCGCGUGUAUGAAGAAGUCCUUCGGGUUGUAAAGUACUUUCAGUCGGGAGGCGUUACCAACAGAAGAAGCACCGGCUAACUCCGUGCCAGCCGCCGCGGUAAUAC
rnacentral:rRNA from 1 species